UACAGAGGUCUCAAGCGUUGUUCGGAUUCAUUGGGCGUAAAGGGUGUGUAGGUGGCGCGCUAAGUCGGGUGUGAAAUUUCGGAGCUUAACUCCGAAACUGCAUUCGAUACUGGCGUGCUUGAGGACUGGAGAGGAGACUGGAAUUCAUGGUGUAGCAGUGAAAUGCGUAGAGAUCAUGGAGGAAGACCAGUGGCGAAGGCGGGUCUCUGGACAGUUCCUGACAGCUGAGACACGAAGGCCAGGGGAGCAAACGGG
rnacentral:rRNA from 1 species